rnacentral:rRNA from 1 species
UACGUAGGGGGCUAGCGUUGUCCGGAAUCAUUGGGCGUAAAGCGCGUGUAGGCGGCCCGGUAAGUCCGCUGUGAAAGUCGGGGGCUCAACCCUCGGAUGCCGGUGGAUACUGCCGGGCUCGAGUACGGAAGAGGCGAGUGGAAUUCCUGGUGUAGCGGUGAAAUGCGCAGAUAUCAGGAGGAACACCGAUUGCGAAGGCAGCUCGCUGGGACGUUACUGACGCUGAGACGCGAAAGCGUGGGGAGCAAACAGG